rnacentral:rRNA from 1 species
GACGAACGCUGGCGGCGUGCUUAACACAUGCAAGUCGAACGGGAUUUAGUAGACAGAAGCCUCGGCUAAAGAUUACUAAUGAGAGUGGCGAACGGGUGAGUAACGCGGGAGCAACCUGCCUAUGACAGUGGGAUAGCCUCGGGAAACCGGGAUUAAUACCGCAUAAAAUCGUAGAAACACAUGUUUCAACGGUCAAAGAUUUAUCGGUCAUAGAUGGGCUCGCGUCUGAUUAGCUAGUUGGUGAGAUAACAGCCCACCAAGGCGACGAUCAGUAGCCGGUCUGAGAGGAUGAACGGCCACAUUGGAACUGAGACACGGUCCAAACUCCUACGGGAGGCAGCAGUGGGGAAUAUUGCACAAUGGGGGAAACCCUGAUGCAGCGACGCCGCGUGAACGAAGAAGGUAUUCGUAUCGUAAAGUUCUGUCCUAUGGGAAGAUAAUGACAGUACCAUAGAAGAAAGCGCCGGCUAAAUACGUG